rnacentral:lncRNA from 1 species
AGCUGCUGAUCUGAUUGAAAAGCAUAACGAUGAUAUUGCAGCACUUGAGACUUAGGAUAAUGGGAAGCCAUAUGAACAGUCUCGUCAAGUGGAAAUUCCAAUGUUGGUUCGCCUAAUUCGGUAUUAUGCUGGUUGGGCAGAUAAGAUUCAUGGUCUCACAGUUCCAGCUGACGGUUCCUAUCACGUGCAGACCUUGCAUGAACCGAUUGGUGUUGCUGGUCAGAUCAUUCCAUGGAACUUCCCUCUUCUCAUGUUUGUACGUGCAGACCUUGCAUGAACCGAUUGGUGUUGCUGGUCAGAUCAUUCCAUGGAACUUCCCUCUUCUCAUGUUUGGUUGGAAGGUAGGACCGGCAUUGGCAUGCGGUAACACUGUCGUUCUGAAAACGGCUGAGUAGACACCACUGUCUACGUUGUAUACAACGAGACUAUUUCAUGAGGCUGGACUUCCUCCUGGUGUGUUGAAUAUAGUAUCUGGUUUUGGUCCAACUGCAGGUGC